CAAUAGCGUAUAUUAAAGCUGUUGCGGUUAAAAAGCUCGUAGUUGGAUUUCUGUCAAGGACAACUGGUCCGCCCUCCGGGUGAGCACAUAGUUUGGUCUUGGCAUCUUGCUGGAAACUGUUGCUGCGCUUGGUUGUGUGGUGCAGCUUUCAGCACUUUCACUUUGGGGAAAUUGGAGUGUUUCAAGCAGGCACAUGCCUUUGGACACAGUAGCAUGGAAUAAUUAGAUUGGGCUUUUGCUCCAACUUGUUGGUUCCUGGAGCUGAGGUGAGAAUCAAUGGGGAUUGUUGGGGGCAUCCGAAUUUAGCCGUCAGAGGUGAAAUUCUUGGAUCUGCUAAAGACGGACAACUGCGAAAGCGUUUGCCCAGGAUGUUUCCAUUGA
rnacentral:rRNA from 1 species